CAUAUCCUACGAUGUGCGUAUCCUUUUUUGUUUUAAACCGUACUGUUUUUUAGGGAUUCUUAUAUAAGUUAAUGGAUGCCAAGCUUGUAUUUAUACAAGAUCGCGUGAGAUUAACUUGCGGAAGCCCACCUGCGAGAGCGGGUUUUAAAACAGACAAGGGACGGCAUUUGUGGGAAUCA
rnacentral:other from 1 species